AUACUUACCUUGUGCCGGGACUCGUUGAUCACCGAGGACGAGCUCCCAGGGUGAGCCGCUGGCAUUGCACUGCACUCGCGUUGGCCCCUUCCACUACCCCAAACUGGGGCAGACGGGGCAUGCAAAUUGCUUAAAUCCGGUUCAACGCAAGAGAGGGCGCCACCGCC
rnacentral:snRNA from 1 species